AACGAACGCUGGCGGCAUGCCUAACACAUGCAAGUCGAACGAGACCUUCGGGUCUAGUGGCGCACGGGUGCGUAACGCGUGGGAACCUGCCCUUAGGUUCGGAAUAACUCCCCGAAAGGGGUGCUAAUACCGGAUAAUGUCUUCGGACCAAAGAUUUAUCGCCUUUGGAUGGGCCCGCGUUGGAUUAGCUAGUUGGUAGGGUAAAAGCCUACCAAGGCGACGAUCCAUAGCUGGUCUGAGAGGAUGAUCAGCCACACUGGGACUGAGACACGGCCCAGACUCCUACGGGAGGCAGCAGUGGGGAAUAUUGGAAAAUGGGCGAAAGCCUGAUCCAGCAAUGCCGCGUGAGUGAUGAAGGCCUUAGGGUUGUAAAGCUCUUUUACCCGGGAUGAUAAUGACAGUACCGGGAGAAUAAGCACCGGCUAACUCCGUG
rnacentral:rRNA from 1 species